UCUGGCUCAGGAUGAACGCUAGCACAGGCUAACACAUGCAAGUCAGGGGCAUCACGGGAGUAGCAAUACAACUGGUGGCGACCGGCGCACGGGUGAGUAACGCGUAUGCAACCUACCUAUCAGAAGGGGAAUAACCCGGCGAAAGUCGGACUAAUACCGCAUAAAACAGGGGCACCGCAUGGUGAUAUUUGUUAAAGAAAUUCGCUGAUAGAUGGGCAUGCGUUCCAUUAGGUAGUUGGUGAGGUAACGGCUCACCAAGCCGACGAUGGAUAGGGGAACUGAGAGGUUGGUCCCCCACACUGGUACUGAGGCACGGACCAGACUCCUACGGGAGGCAGCAGUGAGGAAUAUUGGUCAAUGGGCGGGAGCCUGAACCAGCCAAGUCGCGUGAAGGGAAAAGAAGGAUCUAUGGUUCGUAAACUUCUUUUGCAGGGGAAUAAAGUGCAGGACGUGUCCUGUUUUGUAUGUGCCCUGAGAAUAAGGAUCGGCUAACUCCGUGCCAGCCGCUGC
rnacentral:rRNA from 1 species